AGCUCUGCUAGCGUAUAUUAAAGUUGUUGCAGUUAAAAAGCUCGUAGUUGAAUUUCUGGUAGGAGUGAUUGGUCCAUCACAACGUGUUGGAACCUGAUUGUCUCCAGCCAUCCUUGGAAAGAGUCUUCAUGGCAUUAAGUUGCCGAGUUGACAGUUUCCAUCAUUUACUGUGAAAAAAUUAGAGUGUUCAAAGCAGGCUUAUGCCAUUGAAUAUAUUAGCAUGGAAUAAUAAGAUAGGACUUUGGUACUAUUUUGUUGGUUUGCGCACCAGAGUAAUGAUAAAUAGGGACAGUUGGGGGUAUUCGUAUUCAAUUGUCAGAGGUGAAAUUCUUGGAUUUAUGGAAGACGAACUACUGCGAAAGCAUUUACCAAGGAUGUUUUCAUUA
rnacentral:rRNA from 1 species